rnacentral:rRNA from 1 species
CACUUCUAAGGAAGGCAGCAGGCGCGCAAAUUACCCAAUCCUGACUCAGGGAGGUAGUGACAAGAAAUAACAAUAAACCGGCUUAUGCCGGUUUAAUUGGAAUGAGUACAAUUUAAACAUCUUAACGAGGAACAAUUGGAGGGCAAGUCUGGUGCCAGCAGCCGCGGUAAUUCCAGCUCCAAUAGCGUAUACUAAAGUUGUCGCAGUUAAAAAGCUCGUAGUUGGAUUUCUGUGGGGACGGAGCGGCCGGCCGCACAUCGCGGUUCGAGCUAGCGCUUUCCCUACAUCCUGCCGCGAACCGUGCUACCAUUAAUUUGGUGGCGCUGGGGAUCGGCUCGAUUACUUUGAGAAAAAUAGAGUGUUCAAAGCAGGCCACAUGCCUUGAAUAAGUUAGCAUGGAAUAAUAACUAAGGACUUCGGUUCUAUUUUGUUGGUGUUCGGGACUGAAGUAAUGAUUGAUAGGGACAGUUGGGGCGGUCUGUAUUCCAAAGCGAGAGGUGAAAUUCUUAGACCUUCGGAAGACAAACAGCUGCGAAAGCGUUCCGCAAGGAUGUUCCCUUUGAUCAAGAACGAAAGUUGGGGGAUCGAAGACGAUCAGAUACCGUCGUAGUCUCAACUAUAAACUAUACCUGCUAGGGAUCGGCCAACGUUAUUUCAAACCGACUUGGUCGGCACCUUAUGAGAAAUCAAAGCAUCUGGGUUCCGGGGGGAGUAUGGUCGCAAGGCUGAAACUUAAAGGAAUUGACGGAAGGGCACCACCAGCCGUGGAGCCUGUGGCUUAAUUUGACUCAACACGGGAAAACUUACCAGGUCCAGACAUAGUAAGGAUUGACAGAUUGAUAGCUCUUUCUUGAUUCUGUGGGUGGUGGUGCAUGGCCGUUCUUAGUUGGUGGAGUGAUUUGUCUGGUUAAUUCCGUUAACGAACGAGACCCCAGCCUGCUAAAUAGCGCGCGUGAGCUUUGCUCGCGGCGAGCUUCUUAGAGGGACUAUGAUGCGCGAUAGCACAUGGAAGUUUGGGGCAAUAACAGGUCUGUGAUGCCCUUAGAUGUUCUGGGCCGCACACGGGCUACACUGGCGCCUGCAACGAGCAUAUCAGCUGGCCCGAGAGGGUCUUGGCUAAUCUUUUGAACCGGCGCCGUGCUUGGGAUUGACCUUUGCAAUUGUUGGUCAUGCAACGAGGAAUGCCUUGUAAACGCGAGUCAUCAGCUCGCAUUGAAUACGUCCCUGCCCUUUGUACACACCGCCCGUCGCUCCUACCGAUGAAUGUUCCGAUGAAAUUUUCGGAGAGCACCUGUGAACUUGGCUCCGCCUUGCGAACGGGAGGCUCAAAGUCACUUAAAUCUGAACAU